UACGUAGGCAGCGAGCGUUGUUCGGAGUUACUGGGCGUAAAGGGUGUGUAGGCGGUUCUUUAAGUUUGGUGUGAAAUCUCCCGGCUCAACCGGGAGGGUGCGCCGAAUACUGAGGGACUAGAGUGCGGGAGAGGAAAGUGGAAUUCCUGGUGUAGCGGUGAAAUGCGUAGAUAUCAGGAGGAACACCGGUGGUGUAGACGGCUUUCUGGACCGUAACUGACGCUGGGACACGAAAGCGUGGGUAGCAAACAGG
rnacentral:rRNA from 1 species